UGACUGAUAGCUUAAAUUUAAAGCAAAGCACUGAAGAUGCUUUUAUGGUUCUCCCUCGGUCAA
rnacentral:tRNA from 1 species